UCCGGUUUAUCACCGGCAGUCUCCAUAGAGUCCUCGGCUUGACCCGUUAGUAACUAUGAAUAAGGGUUGCGCUCGUUGCGGGACUUAACCCAACAUCUCACGACACGAGCUGACGACAGCCAUGCAGCACCUCUACACAGACCUCCGAAGAGGGGACCUCAUCUCUGAGGCUUUCCUGUGCAGUUCAAACCCAGGUAAGGUGGGGAUGACGUCU
rnacentral:misc_RNA from 1 species